rnacentral:rRNA from 1 species
GGGUAACGGCCCACCAAGGCGACGAUCAGUAGCCGACCUGAGAGGGUGACCGGCCACAUUGGGACUGAGACACGGCCCAAACUCCUACGGGAGGCAGCAGUGGGGAAUAUUGCACAAUGGGGGAAACCCUGAUGCAGCAACGCCGCGUGAAGGAUGAAGUAUUUCGGUAUGUAAAGCUCUAUCAGCAGGGAAGAAACUGACGGUACCUGACUAAGAAGCACCGGCUAAAUAC